rnacentral:rRNA from 1 species
UAAAUAAGAGUUUGAUCCUGGCUCAGAAUGAACGCUGGUGGUAUGCUUAACACAUGCAAGUCAACGUAAAGAAAUUUAUUUCUUUAUGUGGCGGACGGGUGCGUAACGCGUAAGAACUUACUUUUUGGCUUGGUAUAGUUUUGAGAAAUCUUAAGUAAACCCAAAUACUGCCUACAAAAGGCGAAAGAUAAUUCACCAAAAAAAAGGCUUGCGUCUGAUUAGCUAGUUGGUUUGAUAACGGCAAACCAAGGCAACGAUCAGUAGCUGAUCUGGGAGGAUGAUCAGCCACAUUGGGACUGAGACACGGCCCAAACUUCUACGGAAGGCAGCAGUGAGGAAUUUUCCGCAAUGAGCGAAAGCUUGACGGAGCAAUACCACGUGACUGAAGACAGCCUUUAUGGUUGUAAAAGUUUUAUUUUAGAAAAGAAUAUUGACUGUAUCUAAAAAAAAAGUAUCGGCUAACUCUGUGCCAGCAGCCGCGGUAAUACAGAGGAUGCUAGCGUUAUUCGGAAUGAAUGGGCGUAAAGAGUCUGUAGGUAGUUUAAAAAGUCUUUUGAGAAAUAUUUAGGCUUAACCUAAAAAGUUUAAGAGAAACUAUUAAACUUGAGAUUAGUAGAGGUUUAGGGAAUUUUCGGUGGAGCGGUGAAAUGCGUGGAUAUCGAAAGGAACACCGGAGGCGAAAGCGUUAAACUGGGCUAAUUCUGACACUGAGAGACGAAAGCGAGGGGAGCAAAUAGGAUUAGAGACCCUAGUAGUCCUCGCCGUAAACUAUGGGGACUAGAUGUGUAUAUAUAAAUCUUAUAUAUGCAUAACGAAGCUAACGCAUUAAGUCCCCCGCCUGGGGAGUACGCCGCAUUGGUGAAACUUAAAGGAAUUGACGGGAACUUACACAAUUGGUGGAGCAUGUGGUUUAAUUCGAUGCUACACGAAGAACCUUACCGGGAUUUGACAUAAUAUUUUAUUUUUUUUUUGUAAUUAAAAAAAAUAAAUUUAUUUAUAAAUUUAAAAUAUUACAGAUGGUGCAUGGUUGUCAAGUUCGUGUUUUGAGAUGUUAGGUUAAUUCCUGUAACGAACGAAAUCCCUUUUUUCUAUUAUAUAAAAUAUUUUUAAUUGAAAUAACUGCCAAUGUAAAUUGGAGGAAGGUUGGGAUGCCGUCAAAUCAGUAUGCCUUUUAUAUCCCGGGCUACACACGUGCUACAAUGGUCGAUUCAAUAGAUAUCCAAAAUUUUAACCUCGAUCGUAGUUCGGAUUAAAGGCUGAAACUCGCCUUUAUGAAGUAGGAAUCAAUAGUAAUCGCAAGUCAGCUAUAUUGCGGUGAAUUAGUCCCUGAGUUUUGUACACACCGCCCGUCACACCCUGGAAAUUGGUUUUGCUUGAAAUUAUGACUUUAACACCAAUUUUUUGGUGAGGAGAAUACUUAAAGUAAAGUUAGUAACUAGGGUGAAGUCGUAACAAGGUAGCCGUACUGGAAGGUACGGCUGGA